rnacentral:rRNA from 1 species
GUGCCAGCCGCCGCGGUAAGACAUAGGUGGCAAACGUUAUCCGGAAUUACUGGGCGUAAAGUGUGCGUAGGUGGUUGAAUAAGUUACUGGUGGCAAAUCGGGGCUCAACUCCGUGGAAGCUAGUAAUACUAUUCAACUAGAGGGCCGGAGAGGUUAACGGAAUUCUAUGUGUAGCGGUAAAAUGCUCAAAUAUAUAGAGGAACACCAAUCGGCGAAGGCAGUUAACUAUUCGGCUCCUGACGUUGAGGCACGAAAGCGUGGGGAGCAAGACGGAUUAGAUACCCGGGUAGUCC